UUAAUCCUUAACCAGCAAGUAAGAGAAGACAGUGAUCCUCACCGCUCACUCUCUUAGGUCUCGGCUCCUACUCUUCACGCAACUCUACCUACCAUUCCCAUGGCAACCACCGCCGAUAAACCCCUCGCUACCGCAAGAAACUCCGCGGCUCCAUCCUCCGUCGCCAAUUCAUCCGCAGAACCGAUCUCUAAGAAGACCGCGGAGCCCGCUCUGCCUUCCACCGAUAAGUUAGAUCCUCCUAGCUCUGAUACUUCUGCUUCUGAAGUACCUCUUAAGGAGAGCGAGGGUUCGAAGACUGGCGGGACUGCUGGGGGCUCCGUCUCUGGGGGUGGCAGCGCUCCCGUUAGCGACAUCCAGAAGAAGAUUCGCCGAGCUGAGCGGUUCGGCGUACCGGUCCAGUUGUCUGAGCAAGAGAAGCGUAAUUCUAGGGCUGAGAGGUUCGGCACUGGGCCCAGCACGAAUGGAUCAGAAGCAUCUAAGCAAUCGGAGGACUUGAAGAGGAAAGCCAGAGCAGAGAGGUUUGGGCUUUCUGUACCCACUACGGCUGCUGAUGAGGAGGCCAAAAAGAAAGCACGUCUUGCCAGAUUUGCACAAGAUUCCAAACCUGAUACGGUGGAAGAGGAGAAAAGAAAAGCGAGGGCAAUUAGGUUCUCUAAUCCUCCAUCAAGUACAUCAUCACAGGUGAAUGGGAAGGGAAAUAUUGAGCCAGAGGCUCCUAUUGCUGGAAAGGCUGGUGGAGGACCCUAAAUACAAAAUUUCCCUACCUAGUUAAAAGGUCUAGUAGUGUUGUAACAACUUGUAUCCGUAGCGGCUUCUUUACAAUGUUAUCUUUCCAACCUCAGAAUUAUUAGAUGUGGUACUCCUUCAUCCUCAGAUAAAUUGCUAAAGCAGUGAAAGGUUUCGUUGGUAGUUUGGAUGGCAUUUUUCUCAUUUCGGGCAUAACUACUGUUUCUAUUGACUUGGUGAGGCCUAUAGAGGAAUCAGCGAUCAGUGUUAACCUAUCUCAAAUCCUACCAAAAGCAUUAAAACUUCUCGGAUAAGGGCUAGAAAAUUUCAACUUUUCCUUUUGAUGAUAUGAUUGAGAAAGUAUGGAGUGGUUAGUAAUUUCCAUCUAGAAAAAAAAUUUUGAUUUGUUCUCUUGCCAUGGUAAUAUUUGGGGAUUUUAUAUUCUUCCAAGUUGCAUGGUAUGACCAAAUUCGAGACGGCAGUAGUAUCCAAAUUGAGUCUGACAUCUAUUUCUUCGGGUUAAAUAAUUUUAAGUAGUAGAUGAUACAUUCUCAUAAAUAUCUAAAAGCAAGUUUAGUUUCCAUUUUAUUCUGGUUUCUACAUGUUAGGGUCUUAUGUCUCUUUCUUUCUUGUUUUUUUUUUUUUAAGUGUGACUUUGGCUAUAGGACAAAUGAACUUAAAUGCCUUUUAUAUAAGCAAACGUGGAUAACAUUUUUUUUGUGUUUACAUUGAAAUGCUUUGGUGUAGGGGUUUGUAGGAGGCUUAUUUUGUUCAGUAAUCUCUGACUGUUUUCAUGUUACUUUGUUCUAAAUAGUUAAAAAAGGAAAUAGAAUCAUUUGUUGGAUAUAUUCUCGAGCAUGCAUGUACUCAUGAGCUCGUUUGCAAGUUUGCAUGCAUAAGUUUGCAUUUUUGUACAUGUAUCUGCUCAUGAUACUCGUGGCUCAGAUGGCAUAAUUGAACUCGAUUUAGUUAGUUUUCCGUGAGAAAUUAUGAAUGCAGUGCUGUUGUGCAUAGGAUACUACUGCUGUCAGCUUUUGAUCAUGAGAGGCAUAUUAAAAAUUGGGAAUUGUUUUACAAUGUUAAUAUUGAAUGCGGAGAGUUCCUGAAAUUUUCCGGGUUUUAUUUUGAGAUAAGUGAUUUGAGAUAAGUGAACCGUAACCCAGUUUAAGGUGAUUGCUAGCUUCCCUUUGGUCUCACCAGGUGAAUUAGCUGAUCUACGCUGCAAGGAUUUAUUGUAUGGCAAGCACAGAGUAUACUUUUAAACUUAUGGGGGAUUUUCUUUUAAAGAUUUGCUAUGUUGAUCAAAAAGAGAACAAGAAAUAUUUAGAAAGACGUUUUUUGCUAUGCCAAAAAUAGGGCUUUCCUCCUUGGCCACAGAAUAGGCACUACCUUUUAGCUGUCAAACCAUUAAUUCCGAAUAUUUUCUUAAAUCCAAUAUUAAUUAGUAUCUCUAGUCUAAGUUUAAUUUUUGUUGUGUAGGAUCCAUUGUAUAGUAAGCACAGAGCAUAAUUUUAAACUCACGAGAGAUUUUCUUUUAAA